ACACAGCCACCGGAGGCGUCCUGAGCAGCAGCCCACUCCCUGUCCCCUGCAGGCGUCCGACCCGAAGUCCACGCGCCGGAACUCGGACCAGGAGCCAGAGGACCCCAGCGCAGAAUCCGCGGAGACGCACGGCUUCGUCGACCACGCUCCCAGGUGGCGUUCCAGCCCAGAUCCGGCCACGAAGACACCGGCGACCUCGGCCUGGGUUUCCUGUUCGAUGAGCUCCAGAAAGAAGACGAUGCGAAGGAUAUAGAGACUUCAGUGACUGAAGCUGGAGGAGACGAUGAGAAGAAAAUACGGACCAAACCCGAGCAGGGAGCAGGAGCAGGAAAAGAAAGUCACGUGUACGCGGGAGCUGCGGACCCCAUGAUCCACGAGAACCAGAAGGGCGGUGGUGGCCACCAGGAGCCCUGGCAGCAGCAGCCUGAGGAGUUGGCCCAGGACUCCUCCGCUGAGGAUCCGCAACCCCAAGAUCAGGAGCGUCUAUUCAGCCCCAGCACGUUCGGCGGGUUGCACCUGAAGGAGCUAGACAGCAUUUUCUGACCUUCUCAAUAUCCGGACAUGUUCGCUUGAAAGCAACUGGCAAUAUGCAUGGAUGUGAGUGAAGCUGAAGUGGAAGCCAGUAAGCCUGAUGAAAGCAAUUGGUCAGAGUAGCCACUCUGAAACCUGCCUCAGACCUUGGAUACUUUGUCCUACACAUUCUCCAAUUGGCCUGGUAACUUCACCGGAUGAAGAAAUCUAGGUUGUUGGUGUUUUUCUUUGAACACCUCUUCUUGCUCUUCGAUAGG
rnacentral:lncRNA from 1 species